UGGGGUGUGGCUCAGUGGUAGAGCCCUUGCCUAGCAGGUGCCAAGCCCUGGGUUCCAUCCCCGGGAUUCAAA
rnacentral:tRNA from 1 species